UUUCACAAUGAUGAAACACACCUUACUUUAUUUAUUUUCUGGUACCUCUUAUGUCAGAGGUAGAUUUGGGGACCUUACCCGGUCUCUGGGUCUAUUCUCGAUGAUCUAACUGGACUUCUGAUC
rnacentral:snoRNA from 1 species